rnacentral:rRNA from 1 species
AUCUACAGCUAUAUCACCAUGAACACACCCGAUAUUGUUUGAUCUCAGAAGCUAAGAGGGGUCAGGCCUAGUUAGUACUUGAAUAGGAAACUUAUAAUCUUUUCUCCAGUUGAAAAUC